rnacentral:rRNA from 1 species
GUGCCAGCAGCCGCGGUAAUACGUAUGUCGCAAGCGUUAUCCGGAAUUAUUGGGCAUAAAGGGCAUCUAGGCGGCCAGAUAAGUCUGGGGUGAAAACUUGCGGCUCAACCGCAAGCCUGCCCUGGAAACUAUGUGGCUAGAGUACUGGAGAGGUGGACGGAACUGCACGAGUAGAGGUGAAAUUCGUAGAUAUGUGCAGGAAUGCCGAUGAUGAAGAUAGUUCACUGGACGGUAACUGACGCUGAAGUGCGAAAGCUAGGGGAGCAAACAGGAUUAGAUACCCUGGUAGUCCUAGCUGUAAACGAUGAUUACUGGGUGUGGGCAUGAAGAGUGUCCGUGCCGAAGCUAAUGCGAUAAGUAAUCCGCCUGGGGAGUACGGCCGCAAGGCUGAAACUCAAAGGAAUUGACGG